GGCUCGCUAGCUUAGUUGGUAAAGCACUUGUCUAGCGAAUAAGGGUCGUGAGUUCAAAUCUCACCUGAGCUG
rfam:Aedes albopictus isolate Foshan contig68962, whole genome shotgun sequence.